rnacentral:misc_RNA from 1 species
AUCUCGAAUAAUCGAUAAAUGUAUCUGCAAUGCUACUGCUCUCCAGGAAGCAUUGUAUCCUCGGGAAGGUCGCAAUAUGCUAUGCCCUCCCCAGUAAGAUGGGCUACACAUUUUUUCUCCGCGAGCAACUCAGCUUCGGACUUCUUUAUGCGCUCUCGAAGGAAAUCGUCAAUAAUAACAUCUUCAGCUAGCUCGUAGUCGCCAUUUCCCUCUGAUCUGCACGGCAUGCUGAAAACGAUAUCCUCCGCUAUGCCAUAGGGGUUUCCGUUGGUAUAUACCCCUGACGAAAACCAAUCGCCUUUAGGAGUGGGAGUGACAAGGGACCUUAUGGCAUCAACAAUUGAAACAGCAGUCGAUGCAGCAG